rnacentral:sRNA from 1 species
CCUUAGCCCUGAUGGAAGCGGCAUCCUUUCCUUGUUUUCUUUAGACAAGGAAAGAUACAGCGUACAGCGGGAAGUAGC